rnacentral:rRNA from 1 species
ACGAACGCUGGCGGCGUGCUUAACACAUGCAAGUCGAGCGAAAGGAUUCCCUUCGGGGAUGAAUUUAGCGGCGGACGGGUGAGUAACACGUGGGCAACCUGCCUUAUAGAGGGGGAUAGCCUUCCGAAAGGAAGAUUAAUACCGCAUAACAUCAGACUAUCGCAUGGUAGACUGAUCAAAGGAGCAAUCCGCUAUAAGAUGGGCCCGCGUCGCAUUAGCUAGUUGGUGAGGUAACGGCUCACCAAGGCGACGAUGCGUAGCCGACCUGAGAGGGUGAUCGGCCACAUUGGGACUGAGACACGGCCCAGACUCCUACGGGAGGCAGCAGUGGGGAAUAUUGCACAAUGGGGGAAACCCUGAUGCAGCAACGCCGCGUGAGUGAUGAAGGCCUUCGGGUUGUAAAGCUCUGUCUUUGGGGACGAUAAUGACGGUACCCAAGGAGGAAGCCACGGCUAACUACGU